CUAAGCAAAAUUGAAAUAAGUGAUAUGCCUGAUAAGAGAAUUUAAAGUAAUGAUCAUAAAGAUACUAGACUUCAGAAAAGGGUGAAGGAAAUGCAUGAGACCCUUGACAAGUCAAAAAACAUCAUAGAGAACUCAGUACAUGAAUAAAUAGCUACAGGAAGCCAAGGAAAAUAUGUGACCUGGAGGAUACAGUAAUGGAAAACAUUAAAGCUGAACAGGUGAGAGACGAAUACCACAUGAGAACAGGCUUAGGAGAACUCAGUGACACCAUCAACCCUAAGGAUAUAUGCAAUAUAGGACUAUCACAGAAAAAAAGAGGGGAGCAGAAAAUGUCUUUGAAGAAAUUAAACCAGAAAACUUCCCAAAUCUGGGGAGGGAAACAGAAAUCCAGAUUCAUGAGGCAGAGAGAUUUCCCUAACAAAUUCAACCCAAGGAGCUGCACACCAAGACACGUAAU